UAGGCUCGUUCUUAAAUGUGG
rnacentral:piRNA from 1 species